AAUAGAUACCCGGGUAGUCCACGCCGUAAACGAUGGAUACUAGCUGUUGGGGGCGACCUCAGUGGCUAAGCGAAAGUGAUAAGUAUCCCACCUGGGGAGUACGUUCGCAAGAAUGAAACUCAAAGGAAUUGACGGGGGCCCGCACAAGCGGUGGAGCAUGUGGUUUAAUUCGAUGAUACGCGAGGAACCUUACCAAGGCUUAAAUGCAGACUGACCGUUUUGGAAACAGAACUUUCGCAAGACAGUCUACAAGGUGCUGCAUGGUUGUCGUCAGCUCGUGCCGUGAGGUGUCAGGUUAAGUCCUAUAACGAGCGCAACCCCUGUUGUUAGUUGCCAGCGAGUAGUGUCGGGAACUCUAACAAGACUGCCAGUGCAAACUGUGAGGAAGGUGGGGAUGACGUCAAAUCAUCACGGCCCUUACGCCUUGGGCUACACACGUGCUACAAUGGCCGUACAGAGAGCAGCCACUCGCGAGGGGGAGCGAAUCUACAAAGCCGGUCACAGUUCGGAUCGGAGUCUGCAACUCGACUCCG
rnacentral:rRNA from 1 species